GGACCGUGGCUCAGCAGGAGAGAAUCUGUUUUGGAUGCAGAAGGUCCCAGGUUCAAUCCCCAGCAUCUCCA